GUGGGGAAUAUUGGACAAUGGGCGGAAGCCUGAUCCAGCCAUGCCGCGUGUGUGAAGAAGGCCUUUUGGUUGUAAAGCACUUUAAGCGAGGAGGAGGCUCUUAAGGUUAAUACCCUUGAUGAGUGGACGUUACUCGCAGAAUAAGCACCGGCUAACUCUGUGCCAGCAGCCGCGGUAAUACAGAGGGUGCGAGCGUUAAUCGGAUUUACUGGGCGUAAAGCGUGCGUAGGCGGCUGAUUAAGUCGGAUGUGAAAUCCCUGAGCUUAACUUAGGAAUUGCAUUCGAUACUGGUCAGCUAGAGUAUGGGAGAGGAUGGUAGAAUUCCAGGUGUAGCGGUGAAAUGCGUAGAGAUCUGGAGGAAUACCGAUGGCGAAGGCAGUCCCCUGGGCCUGUACUGACGCUCAUGCACGAAAGCGUGGGGAGCAAACAGGAUUAGAUACCCGUGUAGUCC
rnacentral:rRNA from 1 species